GCUCAAGCAGGGGGUGGAGACAUACCAAAGACAGUAAGGUGCCCGUGACCAUCUGUCAAGGAAUAAGGAUUGACCAAGCAUUGGUCCCUCCUGACAACCCAAACCCAAAUAUGAAAACUUCGGAAAUAUCACCCUUGAUUGAUGAGACCAUCUGCAAGAAAACUAGAGGGCCUUCCUUCCUAGAUGCCGGCACUCAGAAGGUGGUUGACUCAUUCAAGGAUUUUUUUUUCCAAGUUUCCAUAUUUGUCUGAGUUUUUAGUGUGCAGCAAAGUAUGGUCCAUUUGUAUUCCGUGAAAAGAAAAUGCCACUGACAACCUUACUGUCAUCGGUAUGCUUCCACUUGCUUCUUGAGUGUUUUUUUAAGGGUGUCUUCUAGCUGCUUCUUUCAUGGUCCCACCGGGGAAACACUUCAUGAGUCAUGUCACUUCUUGGGUGUCUCAUGUGGCAAGUUUGCAUCCCUGUCUCAGAGCUAGCCUUGAGAACUUUGCCUAGCACAACUUCUGGGCUCCCAUAUAAAUCGUUCAGAGCUCUUCCCACUUUGUCAGAACCAUGCGUGGGUCUCUCCAUCUCUGGACCCUUUGAUGAGACACUCUGCUUGCUUGCUGCUUUCAUCUAACAGUGCUGAGGGACAUGGAGUCAGUGAGUAACUUCUGCCUGACCCAUCCCUGGGAGUUUGUUCUGAGCUGGACCUUGCAGGCCCGUUAGUCCUGGUGUUGUGUGAAUCUCGUUUUUAAGUGUCCUUCCAUCUGCUCUCAGAGCUCGGGGUUAAAAAGGUCCCCUGGGCAGCAGACAACAGUCUACAGUCUAUGGGGUACCCAGCUCUUGGAAGUUAGUUGAUCAAACAGUAUAUGUUACUUUUUAACCAUGUUUGAUAAAUCAGUCUUACUUUCUAGGUGCUUCUUCAAAAGGUGGCACUCUAGGUGUCUAACAGCAGGUGGGACAAUAAAUUGGGAUCAUGAAUCUUUAGGACAAGAAGCCCCAUCAUCCCUAAUUGGAGGUGAAUGGCUUGGUAGUUUCUGGAGAGAGUAUGGGGCUGGGGCCUGGUUUGGAUGGCAGCCACUGGUGGAGCUCAGGUCCAGGACAGCUUCUGAGUCAAAGGUUGGCAUUUGACCAAGUGAUGAAUCAAGGCCUUUGUAGGAAAGAGCUGUGGAGGUAUAUUAGUCUGAAGUUGUACCGGGAUGUAAGUAGAGAGCUCGUGCCAUGUUGACAGUAGGCAUUGGGACUCACUGUGGAGAAAGUGAGGCCCCAGAAAAACUGGCUACAUUUCUGAUAUAAAUUUCUCCCUGAGACCUUCUGGCAGAAGAACU
rnacentral:lncRNA from 1 species